rnacentral:rRNA from 1 species
GGGCGCAGCCUGAUCAGCCAUGCCGCGUGAGUGAAGAAGGCCUUCGGGUUGUAAAGCUCUUUCGGCCGGGAAGAAAUCGUAUCAGCUAAUACCUGGUGCGGAUGACGGUACCGGCAUAAGAAGCACCGGCUAACUACGUGCCAGCAGCCGCGGUAA